CCCUUUAUAGCUCAGCUGGAAGAGCAUCUGACUGUAACUUUGUGUAUACCAAACAAUCAUCAGGAGGUCACCAGUUCGAUCCUGGUUGAAGGGA